UUCUGAUAUAUCGCUCGUAUGAAACGUGAAUUCGUGGACACUUGUGCGUAAGAGUUACGCUUCACAUAUAAGCUUCACAGAGCAUAAUUUGAAGUUCGACAACUACCGCAGUAUGUACAAAGUUGAGCAAAUGUCAAAAUGAAUGAUUUCAUGACCAUUAUUGUCAUACACGUUUCUUCCAUGCUAGCGUUGCAACUUGGACCAAAGGGCGACUACGGCGAAGUGUGCGUUCCCUGCUCCUGUCCCGGCAAUGGUACCACCGUGUGCAGCGUGAAUAACGGUACCGGCUGCCAGUGCGUGAACGGCGUGUACCGAAUGGGCCUUCGCGGUGUCUGCGCAGUCCGCGUGCUUUGCUACGAUAAGAGCAGUCAUUCCGAUCACAGGGUCAACCGUGUCGCCAGAGGACCUCGAGUCCCUGUUGGGCCCAGUGGAUUUGUUCGGGGCUUACGUUUGAAAAGCGACUCACAGCAUCCUUCCUAGGGAAAAACUGACCCGGUUGGUCCAACAGCUGCUUUCGAACCCGAUUACCUACGCACGAUGCUCAACCCAUCCGACCACGGACUGCCUAGUGAGCCAAGUUGCGAGCUAUUUGGCAAGACAACGGCGGCAGCACCCACCCAGCCAGCAGCCACGGCCAAGAAAGUCCGGGAGCGUUCCCAAACGAAGCUACACUCUAAAAAAUAAUUUCUGGGGCAACAGGUGCCAUAACCACGAUAUGAUCAUGCGACACACUGUAAUGAGGGACUCUCGAUUAACCUUUGGCCACCGCGGUUUCUUCUACGGGCACCUAAAUAAAAGUAUGUUGGCG